CGCGAGCACGCCCCGCGCGCCUCCGCCGCGGGAGUCACCGGUGAAGAUGAGCCCUGCCACGCUUAGCGCUUAGCCUGCCGCGCGGCCCAGCGUUCGGAUAAAGACUGCUGGCAGAUGAGAAAAGGAUGCGCAGGAGCAUUUGAAAACUGAAGCAGCUCAAGCAAAUACAAUGUGUAAUACACACCAUCUUCUCUGCACACUUCUUCAAGAUGAAACAUUUCUGGAACUGGUGCUUACCUGUGAUUCUGGGAGGAUAAAAAGUGCUGCUGUGUGGGCAACUGGCUACUCCUUGUUGCUUUCUCUUCUGCUUGCAGAGGCACCAGUCCUGUUAGACGGAUAGUGAAGCCUUUUUUUUUUUCCUUCUACUUCAAGUGCCCUCUAGCGAGCAAUAUCUGUGCAGGUUGCUAUGUGGAAGAAGGCUGAAUGAAGAAAGAAAAAAAAAAAAAAAGGAAUUCAUCAGUUGCCGUUUUUCAUUCCUGAACUGCUCCAUUCCUUCCUUUUCCUUGCUCAGAGGCGCUUAUUUCCUCAUAAGCGCCUGGCAAAACAACAACAAAAAGAUGUUGUUGCUUUUGCAUGAGAAACAAAUCAUUCAUUUACUAAACUGCGAAGCUGAAAUGAAUGCUAAUCCUUUCUCGUGGGGUUUCUUUUGAGCACUCAUCAUGGUUUUUCCCAAAGUUGGUACACUAUGGUAAUCAGGCUAAUAAAAGAAGAUGGAGAAUCAAAGAAGUUUCCUGGCAGAGUGCCCACAUAUCUUUGUUUGCAACAAUCAAGGGCAAAACUGCGCACUCCUCAGUCAGCCGUGAGCACCUAAAGCACUCUUUCUUAUGUUGACAUGGUAGAGAACAGGAAAGGACCAGGUGCAGAUAAUUAAAAGAUGAAUAAGCUAAGUUGCCCUCAAAAGCUCAGUCAAGUGGAAGAGACAGACAAUGGGAAGACAUAAUUUUGGUAUAAGGACAGCUUUCAAGUGCUGCAGCAUAAAAGGAUGAUGAAAAUGCGAAGGCUUAGGAGUCUGAGAACAUCCUUGGAGAUGUCACUUCACUGCCAUGAUUAUCCUUACGACUGUCUACCAUUGGGAGCCUCGUAGCCUCUCAGAUAAAGUGCGUGGGUGUGGCUGAAACGAGGAUUCACAGCACGAUCAAAGAAUAGCAGUAGACUAUGUUCUGGGACAGUCGAAUAAGCAAGCCAAAGAGCCUUCUCUUUGGGGCUGAGAAGCUAGAAUGCCACUCUAUUAAUCCUCUGUCCUACCUCGAACUAUAUAACAAACACGUAUAUUCAGCUUUAUGCUAGCUGCACGAAAAUAUAGUGCUAGAAUUGCACAAAAAAUACCUGAAUAUGGACCAAUGGAGGGAAGAAAUACUGUUUACAAAGUAAUUACAAUACUAAAAGAAAAACAGAAAAUACAAAAGCACUGUUCUUGGUGCUUUAGCUCCACGCCAACUGCUCAGGAACUUUUAAAGUACAGGCAUUCUCAUGGUCUGUGCUUUACAAAUGAGGAGUGUGGGUAGGGAGAGCUUAAAUAUCUUGUUCAACAUCAUUUGAACAACCAUAAAAUUAUAUUGUGACAGCCCAGGUUUCAAGACUUUAGGGCUGGAGUCAGGUUAACUAUUAUGAUAACAUACUUUUCACAUGACUUGUUUUGCUUGGUAUUUCUCUGUUUUAUUGAUAGUAUAUCAAAGACAUACUCUGAAUUCUUUGAAUCAUUAUUGUCUUUAUUUUGUAUUAAAAGUGUGUGCUUUGGUGUUCAGCACAUAACCCAAACUUUUGUUCUAAUUAUGAGAGGGUCAGAAGCAUCAGCAAAUAUCAGGCCCGUGUGCGAGUGUGCAGUCCACUGUGGCAGGCACAUGAACACAAUUAUUGUUCUACAUGCAUAUGGCAGUAUCAGCUGUCCUUCUCUUCCCCUGUUAAACAUUUUUAUUUCAUUGCUUGUGGCUACCUUCUACAUUGAUCCUGAAGUUUUAGCAAAUGAUCAUAUUGCCUAGCCUCCAACCCCUACUUCUACAUCCUCCUCUGCUUCUGUCAGACAUCUUUGCUCUUGAUUCUCCAUAGUAUCUCCAUCCAAACUGUUGUUCUUAUCUUCCAGAUAGCUGGCGUUUCUCCUGUCAUCCUUACUAAUGCAUCUAGUGACAUGGAUAGCACAUAUGUUUUUAGGUAGGUCGAGGCUGCACAACAUGGAGUAAGGACAUAUAUGUUACCUUGGUUGACUGUUGGUGUUUGUGAAGUAAAGACUGUCAGUUUCUAAAUUGUGCAAAUGGAAUAUGUAUCAGCUUAAGUCAGACAAGUUUUUCAAAGUAGACUUUCACUUUGUACACUGAGUAACACAUAUAGUAAUGAAUAUUUUCCCACUAUAUAUUUUUCUUUAGUGUGACAUUUAUCAUCUCUUAAAAUUUGUCCCCAAAUUCACUUAGCUAACUAAUUUACCACACCCCCUUAUGUGAGGCCUCCUUUCCAUUCUUCUUUGAACCUGAUGCAUUGGUUCAUUAGGCCAUUUGAACUACUUGAACAUAACAAUGAACACAGAUUCAUUGGCAGUGUUUUAACCAAGGCAGACAAAUCUAAUUGAUUAUGGUUAGACACAUUUUAAGAUUAAUCUCAAGGAAGUGCUUAAGAAAGCCACCAAAAAUCAUCCAGAAUCAUACAAGUAGGUUAAAUUCCUUUUCCCAAAUAAGCUUAUAUGCUUCCCUCAACUUGAAAUGACCUACUUCUGCUGUGAGAAUCUAACAAGUUCAUGUCUCUGUGAAACUGUCUUGAUUUCCUCACCUCAAGGGGAAUUAACUCUCUGACUACAUGGCACACAGGUCUACAACAUACAGAUCUUCAUUUGCUCCCUGAUCUAGCCUCCUAAUUGUGACACUCACAUCUACCUGCCUGCCCAAUACCAUCUGUCUUUCUGGCUGGUGGUGGAAGUAUUCUUCAAACUCCUACGGCAGGCAAUUAAGUGUAGCACUUCCUUGGAAUUCAAAAAAGCUGAGAUAACUAAGAUAACUGAUUGAUGAGUGAGAAAGAAACAGACCCAAACAGAGAGUGUUAUAGUUUAGUAUACACCAAGAAAAUGGAAUUUGAGGGAAGGGUAGAUGGACAGGGCCAUUAUGCAAGUGAAUUUGCACGGAGACACCCUGCCUCAUUCCUAGUGCUCUCUGGCUUUCAGUCUGCAUGAGAACCUUGUCCUACAGACAGACAGACAGCUUCAGGGUGGAUUAACUAAUCAGCCAAGUGAGAAGAGCAUCUACCAGUAUGUCUGCAAAAAUACUUCAAUUUCAAAAAUGAUUAUUAAAAGCCACAAGGAAGGCACAGAUAACACCUUUGAAACAUUGACUGGCUGAUCAAAAGAGACAUUAGUAUGUACUCCUUAAGGGAAACUGUUGGAAUUUAACAUGCAUACAAGCAAAUCCUAUUACUAUUUUCUCCUCUGCAUUGUCAUAAAAAUCCAGUCUUUGGAGCUUUCCAACUGCUUCUCAGCUCUUUUGAAAAUACUUCCAUUUGUUUCUCUUGACUUCUGUGUUCCAUUCUUUUCUUUGUUUCUUCUUUCCUUCUCUGUCUGUUUCAA